UGUUAAAGUCAGAGAAAACAAAGACGACACAGCAGUGCGAUCUGAGAGUUUGAGCUGUGAAGAUCUGACUUUACGACGGCUGACAGAAGAAAAGUGAGGACAAAAGUGGCAGCAGCAGACCCCACGUCUGUCAUUUAAACUGACCACCUGAUCUGUGAUCUAAGGAGCUGGACCAGGUCAAACAUCUCAGUGUCAGCACCACCAUGAGACUCGCCGCCUUGCUGCUCCUGCUGUGCCUGUGCUCUGCUGCGAUGGCUUUGCAAUCUCAAUCUCCAACCAACCCAGCAAUCAAGUUAUCUACUUCCGGAGAUGUGCACCCAAAAGCUACGCGGGGACACAUGAGAGUAGCAAGAGGAUAUGGAGGAGGAAGAUUUGGAGCAGAAAGAGGAUUAGGAGGGGGACUAGGUGGAUACGGACAAUACGGAGGAUGAUGUUUCAGGACUUGGUAAAUUGGCCAAAAGGACCAAACAGACCAAUCAUUGCCAAGAAAGAAGAAGUCAGAGAAUGUCUAUUAGUUUAGAAUAAAAACCAAACCCAUUGCAGCAAACUGCCUGG